UACAGAGGUCUCAAGCGUUGUUCGGAUUCAUUGGGCGUAAAGGGUGCGUAGGCGGCGCGGUAAGUCGGGUGUGAAAUCUUGGAGCUUAACUCCGAAACUGCAUUCGAUACUGCCGUGCUUGAGGACUGGAGAGGAGACUGGAAUUUACGGUGUAGCGGUGAAAUGCGUAGAUAUCGUAAGGAAGACCAGUGGCGAAGGCGGGUCUCUGGACAGUGACUGACGCUGAGACGCGAAAGCGUGGGGAGCAAACAGG
rnacentral:rRNA from 1 species